rnacentral:rRNA from 1 species
UACGUAGGGUCCGAGCGUUGUCCGGAAUUAUUGGGCGUAAAGGGCUCGUAGGCGGUUUGUCACGUCGGGUGUGAAAACUCAGGGCUCAACCCUGAGCGUGCUUCCGAUACGGGCAGACUAGAGGUAUGCAGGGGAGAACGGAAUUCCUGGUGUAGCGGUGGAAUGCGCAGAUAUCAGGAGGAACACCGGUGGCGAAGGCGGUUCUCUGGGCCUGUACUGACGCUGAGGAGCGAAAGCGUGGGGAGCGAACAGG